UUUUCGUUUCUUAUUAUUUUCUGUGGAUCCUUUUGACCAGCCUUGUAAAAUAUGAUCGUUAAAGUUUUUCUUAUCAGUUAUGUCUCAUGUCUUCUUUUUUUUUCUAGGACCAUUGAAAGUGCAUGAUCAAGAAUUAGUUGAAGCAUGUUUAGUUGAAGCUAUAUCAAUUCUUGAUGUUAUCUGCAAGCUAGACUCCUCAAUGAUACCUAAGCUCUUUCCAGCACUGAAGAGAGUCUAUGCUAGAAUCAGUGACGACAUUGGUCAACCGAGGGUGCUGUGUACAAUAGUUCAAUUCUAUUUAAAUCAUUGUGAUGCUGU